rnacentral:rRNA from 1 species
AGAGCAAGAGCCCGGAGAUGGAUUCUGAGACACGAAUCCAGGCCCUACGGGGUGCAGCAGGCGCGAAAACUUUACAAUGCUGGCAACAGCGAUAAGGGAACCUCGAGUGCCAGGUUACAAAUCUGGCUGUCGAGAUGCCUAAAAAGCAUUUCAUAGCAAGGGCCGGGCAAGACCGGUGCCAGCCGCCGCGGUAACACCGGCGGCUCGAGUGGUAACCGUUAUUAUUGGGUCUAAAGGGUCUGUAGCCGGCCGGAUAAGUCUCUUGAGAAAUCUGGCAGCUUAACUGUCAGGCUUUCAGGAGAUACUGUCUGGCUCGAGGCCGGGAGAGGUGAGAGGUACUUCAGGGGUAGGGGUGAAAUCUUGUAAUCCUUGAAGGACCACCAGUGGCGAAGGCGUCUCACCAGAACGGACCUGACGGCAAGGGACGAAAGCUAGGGGCACGAACCGGAUUAGAUACCCGGGUAGUCCUAGCCGUAAACGAUACUCGCUAGGUGUCGGCCACGGUGCGACCGUUGUCGGUGCCGUAGGGAAGCCGUGAAGCGAGCCACCUGGGAAGUACGGCCGCAAGGCUGAAACUUAAAGGAAUUGGCGGGGGAGCACCACAACGGGUGGAGCUUGCGGUUUAAUUGGAUUCAACGCCGGAAAGGGC